UCUCCGUUGGUGAACCAGCGGAGGGAUCAUUACAGAGUUGCAAAACUCCCAAACCCUUGUGAACAUACCCGUUACAGUUGCUUCGGUGGGCGGCCCCAGGGCGGGGCCGCAGCCUCUUCUCACGAGGCGCCCGCCGGAGGUAUAUAACUCUCUGUAAUAUGGUCUCUCUGAGUAAAUUUAUAAUAAGUCAAAACUUUUAACAACGGAUCUCUUGGUUCUG
rnacentral:misc_RNA from 1 species